rnacentral:rRNA from 1 species
AACGAACGCUGGCGGCAGGCCUAAUACAUGCAAGUCGAGCGCUCUAGCAAUAGAGAGCGGCGCACGCGUGCGUAACGCGUGGGAAUAUGCCUUUAGGUACGGAACCACAAAGGGAAACUUUGGCUAAUACCGUAUAAUAUCGUCGGAUCAAAGAAUUUCGCCUAAAGAUUAGCCCGCGUCUGAUUAGCUAGUUGGUGGGGUAAAGGCCUACCAAGGCGACGAUCAGUAGCUGGUCUUAGUGGAUGAUCAGCCACACUGGAACUGAGACUCGGUCCAGACUCCUACGGGAGGCAGCAGUAAGGAAUAUUGGACAAUGGGGGCAACCCUGAUCCAGCCAUGCCGCGUGAGUGACGAAGGCCUUAGGGUUGUAAAGCUCUUUUGGUGGAGAAGAUAAUGACGGUAUCCACAGAAUAAGCCCCGGCUAAAUUCGUGCCAGCCGCCGCGGUAA